AGCUCCAAUAGCGUAUAUUAAAGUUGUUGCAGUUAAAAAGCUCGUAGUCGAAGUUCUGGCUGGCAGCCGGGCUGGCUUCGGUCGCCCGGAGGCCUAGUCAUCCGCCGGAGAACCCAUGUCGUCCUUCACUGGUCGCUUGGGGGAACCGGCCCUUUACUUUGAAAAAAUUAGAGUGUUUAAGGCAGGCUAUCGCCCGAAUACUCCAGCAUGGAAUAAUGGAAUAGGACUUUGUUCUAUUUUGUUGGUUAUUAGAAUGAAGUAAUGAUUAAUAGGGACAGUUGGGGGCAUUCGUACUUAAUUGUCAGAGGUGAAAUUCUUGGAUUUAUUAAAGACGAACUAAUGCGAAAGCAUUUGCCAAGGAUGUUUUCA
rnacentral:rRNA from 1 species